rnacentral:tRNA from 1 species
CGGCCCUUAGUUUAACAGGAUAAAACGAUUCCCUCCUAAGGUAUAGCUGGGGGUUCGAGUCCCUCAGGGCCGGCCA